UUUAACCUUUUUUUCCCCANGAAAAAAAGNNAAAGGGGUUUCUGUCCCCUAANUNAGGGCCCCNGGGUCCUUUNNAUUUUUGGGGGGGAACGUCCCCCAGGCAACGAUGCAUAGCCGACUGGAGGGGUGAUCGGCCACCCUGGGACUGGACCCGGCCCCGACUCCUACGGGAGGCAGCAGUAGGGAUCUUCGGCAAUGGACGAAAGUCUGACCGAGCAACGCCGCGUGAGGAAGAAGGUUUUCGGAUCGUAAAACUCUGUUGUUAGAGAAGAACAAGGAUGAGAGUAAAAUGUUCAUCCCUUGACGGUAUCUAACCAGAAAGCCACGGCUAACUACGUGCCAGCAGCCGCGGUAAUACGUAGGUGGCAAGCGUUGUCCGGAUUUAUUGGGCGUAAAGCGAGCGCAGGCGGUUUCUUAAGUCUGAUGUGAAAGCCCCCGGCUCAACCGGGGAGGGUCAUUGGAAACUGGGAGACUUGAGUGCAGAAGAGGAGAGUGGAAUUCCAUGUGUAGCGGUGAAAUGCGUAGAUAUAUGGAGGAACACCAGUGGCGAAGGCGGCUCUCUGGUCUGUAACUGACGCUGAGGCUCGAAAGCGUGGGGAGCGAACAGGAUUAGAUACCCUGGUAGUCCACGCCGUAAACGAUGAGUGCUAAGUGUUGGAGGGUUUCCGCCCUUCAGUGCUGCAGCAAACGCAUUAAGCACUCCGCCUGGGGAGUACGACCGCAAGGUUGAAACUCAAAGGAAUUGACGGGGGCCCGCACAAGCGGUGGAGCAUGUGGUUUAAUUCGAAGCAACGCGAAGAACCUUACCAGGUCUUGACAUCCUUUGACCACUCUAGAGAUAGAGCUUCCCCUUCGGGGGCAAAGUGACAGGUGGUGCAUGGUUGUCGUCAGCUCGUGUCGUGAGAUGUUGGGUUAAGUCCCGCAACGAGCGCAACCCUUAUUGUUAGUUGCCAUCAUUUAGUUGGGCACUCUAGCGAGACUGCCGGUGACAAACCGGAGGAAGGUGGGGAUGACGUCAAAUCAUCAUGCCCCUUAUGACCUGGGCUACACACGUGCUACAAUGGGAAGUACAACGAGUUGCGAAGUCGCGAGGCUAAGCUAAUCUCUUAAAGCUUCUCUCAGUUCGGAUUGUAGGCUGCAACUCGCCUACAUGAAGCCGGAAUCGCUAGUAAUCGCGGAUCAGCACGCCGCGGUGAAUACGUUCCCGGGCCUUGUACACACCGCCCGUCACACCACGAGAGUUUGUAACACCCGAAGUCGGUGAGGUAACCUUUUUGGAG
rnacentral:rRNA from 1 species